rnacentral:snoRNA from 1 species
ACCCUUUGAUACCCUUUCCUGUCAUAUCUGAACACUGGUGUUGGUAGGUGUGAAAGGAGGAAAAGUAAUAUUUAAGUUGGCUUCACAGUGUUGCAGCCUGGCAUAUAGUAUAUGGGUUAAUUUCAAACAGGU